GAUGAACGCUAGCUACAGGCUUAACACAUGCAAGUCGAGGGGCAGCAUGAUUGAAGCUUGCUUCAAUCGAUGGCGACCGGCGCACGGGUGAGUAACACGUAUCCAACCUGCCGAUAACUCGGGGAUAGCCUUUCGAAAGAAAGAUUAAUACCCGAUAGUAUAGUAUUUCCGCAUGGUUUCACUAUUAAAGAACUUCGGUUAUCGAUGGGGAUGCGUUCCAUUAGAUAGUUGGCGGGGUAACGGCCCACCAAGUCAACGAUGGAUAGGGGUUCUGAGAGGAAGGUCCCCCACAGUGGAACUGAGACACGGUCCAAACUCCUACGGGAGGCAGCAGUGAGGAAUAUUGGUCAAUGGACGAGAGUCUGAACCAGCCAAGUAGCGUGAAGGAUGACUGCCCUAUGGGUUGUAAACUUCUUUUAUACGGGAAUAAAGUGGAGUAUGCAUACUCCUUUGUAUGUACCGUAUGAAUAAGGAUCGGCUAACUCCGUG
rnacentral:rRNA from 1 species